UGAGACAGUUCGGUCUCUAUCCGCCGCGCGCGUUGAAACUUGAAGAAGGCUGUCCCUAGUACGAGAGGACCGGGACGGACGUACCUCUAGUGUGCCAGUUGUCACGCCAGUGGCAGGGCUGGUUGGCUACGUACGGGAGGGAUAACCGCUGAAAGCAUCUUAGCGGGAAGCCUGUUUUGAGAUGAGGUUUCUUUUGAGGAUCCCUCUAGAC
rnacentral:rRNA from 1 species